rnacentral:rRNA from 1 species
UACGUAGGGGGCUAGCGUUGUCCGGAAUCAUUGGGCGUAAAGAGCGCGUAGGCGGCCAGAUAAGUCCGGUGUGAAAGUCAAAGGCUCAACCUUUGAAUGCCGCUGGAAACUGUCUGGCUAGAGUCCGGGAGAGGGUCGCGGAAUUCCUGGUGUAGAGGUGAAAUUCGUAGAUAUCAGGAGGAACACCGGUGGCGAAGGCGGCGACCUGGACCGGUACUGACGCUGAGGCGCGAAAGCGUGGGGAGCGAACAGG